AGGUCCUUGAUUGUUCUAGAAAAGGACAUUGGUUAACUUUAGACUUUGUUAAGUUGAAGCGUGCAUGUAAAAAAUUUAAGGAUGACUAAUCAAAGAACAGAAAUAGAAUGUAUUCUAAACCCACAGAGAGGAAACAAAAGGAAUGAAGACAGUCCAAUCUGUUCACCUCUGGGCAGGAAAUGACACAUAAAAGAAGCAAAGGAAAAGCUUGGUGUGGCCCGCCAGUUUCCAAGAUGGCCCCAGUGAUCCCGGCCUCCUGGGACCCACACCCAAGUGAAGGCCCCCCCCACAAUGUGUGGGCAGGACUUUGUGACUUGUUCCCGUGCCGUAGAAUAUGGUAGAGGCGAUGGUGUGUCACUUGCACGCAGGGUUGGCUGUCUGGGCCUAAAAUCCACGUAAAAGGGAGCUGUCCUCAGAAGGCCUCCGUGCUUGGUUUAGUGCUCUGCUCUCACUGACUUGAAAUUCCUACUAAUGUUUUAAUAAGGGGCCACCCCAAAUUAUGUAGCCAGUUUUGCUUCCAAGGUCAAGUUAUCAGUAGGGUUGCCAGAUAAAAUUCAUGAAGUCCAAUUUAAUUUUUGAAUAAGCAAUGAGUAAGUAUUUAGUAUAAAUAUGGCCUGUGCAAAUAUUGAACUAUUACCUGAAAUUUAAAUUUAACUGGGCAUCCUGUAUUUUUAUUGGCUAAAUCUGGCAACUCAAUUAGAAAAAACCCACGGCUUUCAUUCUGUUGCUGUCUCCAUGCGCUGUCUGUCUUUUUCGGAUCAUUCACUCUAGGAAAGCCGUUUCACGAGCAUGGAGAAAUUCCUGUGGCGAGGAACGGAAGCUUCCCGUCCUUAGCCAUGGGAAUGAACUUGGAAGCAGAUCCUCAACAGACCCUUCGGAUGGCUGUAGCCCUGGCUGACAGCUUGCAACCUCCCAGGUAGCCUGAGCCAGGAUCGCGUAGAUAUGAAGUUCCCAGAUUCCCGACCCUAAGAAAUUAGGGAGGAGGCAGAGAUCUGUUGGUCUAGGAGGAGAGUCUGUCCACUGGCCUCAGUUUACUUCUUGUGAUGUCGAAAUACCAGCUACAAAGGAUGAAUCGCAAUCUGGGCUAAGCCAGUCAUGGAACCUCAUUUCUCUUGGCUCAAGGGGCUGAUGUCGAGAUGGGCAAGUUUGCCAAGCCUGAAAUGUUGGGUGGGUCCUGGCUGGACGCUGCUCUGGUCAUUGUGAAGAACAUUGGUGAUGGCACCUCAGACCAACCCUACAGUCAUGCUCUGGCGACUGGAACUGACCACUAUCUCUGCAAAGUGACAGCUGCCAUGAACAAGAAGAAAAUCACCAAGAGUUCAAAGAGCAAAUGUUCUGUGAAACUUUAGAAGCCACAACGUACUCUGUGGCUAUCCCCUGGGACAGAACCAUCAUCAACGAGGAUGUCUUCAGAGACCCUGCCCUUAAACGCAAGGCUUGACAAGAAGCCAAGGCCAAGGAGGAGAGAUACA